rnacentral:rRNA from 1 species
UACAGAGGUGGCAAGCGUUGUUCGGAAUUACUGGGCGUAAAGGGCGCGUAGGCGGCCUUCUAAGUCAGACGUGAAAUCCCCCGGCUUAACCGGGGAACUGCGUCUGAUACUGGAUGGCUUGAGUUCGGGAGAGGGAUGCGGAAUUCCAGGUGUAGCGGUGAAAUGCGUAGAUAUCUGGAGGAACACCGGUGGCGAAGGCGGCAUCCUGGACCGAUACUGACGCUGAGGAGCGAAAGCCAGGGGAGCAAACGGG